CUAGACAGUAGAAUGGACGAACUCAGUAUCAAUUUUAAGCUCUGAACUCAGUCUCUCUCUCUCUCUCUCCAUUUCACACACUCCUCUCCUCUCAUAGUCUCACCCGCCCACCUUGAUCUAAAUCCCACACCAUAGAUUAGAUAGCAGAGAGAGACGACGACAACGAUGGAUUCGUUUUGGAUUUGAUUCGCCUGCCGCCUUCUUCAUUCAAUCCCAAGAAUAUCCUCAGGUUCCACCGGUUGACUCCUUAAUAUUAUCUUUUUGUUCCUUCUCUGAAACAGAGCCGAUUCUAGGUACUCUAGAUACUUGAAAAAAAAAAUUAUAGGUUCCACCAAGUACCUGGAACUUGGGGUAUAAUAUAGGUUUUUGGUUCGAGAUUCAACAUGAUAGAGUUUGAGUUUCGUAAAAGAAAAGGUACUCGGAACCGAUCACCCAUAAUAAAAAUAGCCUUAUACUCAUAUGUUGUAUUGAAAAAAUUAAUACAAAGAAAAAAAAAGGAGUAGAAAAGAAAAACAAGCUGAAUGAUUGGAUGGAUUUUUCGUCUCACUCAUGCUACAGUUGGUUCGCAUGAAUAAAAUUGAUGGGAAAUAUGAUAAAUAUGUAAUUAGAAUUGAAUUAAAACAUGGAAAAAGAAUUAUAAUUGGAUGGAAUAGGAAGGUGGAGAUUUGAGACUUUUUUAUUUGACCGAUCAAUCGGUUAAACAUAAUAGAAUAUUAAAAGACGAAAAUGCCCUGACCUAAGGAAAAUUAAAAUAAUAUUUAAAAAUUAUUUUAAAUUAUUUCAAAGCCCGGUAGACCAUGAGUCAUGAUUGGGCUAACCAGGAGCUUGAGAGCCCUAUCUCUCUCUCUAGAGGACCCAGGCUCCCGAGCCCUGCUUCGACAAACUAGGGCUUGCACAUUGACUUGCUAGCCCUAGGAGGCUUUCGGAGCCUGAGCUCCUCAGAGGACUCAAGUUGUUUAGAGGGCUCGAGCUGCUCUAACGAGCCCUUGAAUUAUGUCAAGCUCGGCGAGCCGGAUCUGGUUUUGUCGGCUUGAGGACAGGUAGGAAAGUAUCUUGGUUUGGCCGCAGGUGGAAGUCCAAAGGAGGCCACGGUGGAAGUUGGUGACGGCAAUGGAGAACAGGGACGGGUAGUGAAGAGGAGUGACAUGGUUUGUAAAUUUGAUAAAUAAUUUGGGGUACUUUAGUAAGUUAAGCUCCUAUUACUUACGCAUAAUACCGAUCACGUACAGCGGGUUGGAGCAUUGUUAUUCAGUCCCUAUUGCGGAUAUAAAUCCGGAUUCCAGUUUGUAAUAGUGAUUAUGAUUAGGGGUCAAAACAAACAAUGUAAUAACUAUUACGUAAAUAAUAGUUCGUAAUUCCAUUCCUAUUACGGCCAAUCGAACAUAGCAUGAAUGUUUUCAAA